ensembl:lncRNA
AUGCAUAAUGAUGCUCUCAUGUGUCCACCCUCCCUCUCUCCCAGUCUCUGCUGGUUUUCUGGCUGCCUCCAAGACUCUUCCCAUAAGACCCUCAAUCCCCCUCUCCUUCAUGCUCCAGGGACACACUCUGUCUGUGCUCCUGUCACAGGUUUCUGGCCCCUCAGUCAUAAAAUGAGUUAUUCAGGCACCUUCCAGCCUGUGAACCUUGCUCACCAAGACUCCCAGCCUGCCUUGUUCGGUCUGCUCCAGGCUGAGGCGGGAGCCCUCUGCCGGAGGACAGCCACUCUGCCUGGAACAUCUCUGCACUACCAGCUCCAGGCAAGCGGACACUUCAGAGGGAUCAGGGAAUUAGGAGGGAAGAGGUAACUUGGGUAACCCAACUAUAGCCAGCUUUGGUUACAAGUGUUCUGGAAUGAAAACGUUUAGGAAGUAGGCCUGCAUUCAGAUCCUUCAAAGGCUCAAAGGUAAUUGUCAUGAAUCUGUCUCCCUCUGUCUUGACUCUGUUUUCUUUUCUGUCAGUUUUAUUUUACGCAUAUGUGCCAGUUUUAUUAGCAGGCUGGCUCUUUCCAUAGGGAGGUGGAAACGGCGAAACAACCUCAAGGCAAAGAGAUCACGUCUUUCCAAAUACUUCCAGCAAAAAUCCCAGGGUUGACUCCAGUUGGCUUGGCCUGGAUCACAUGCCCAGUCCUGAAACCAUUAUAGUUGUUUUGGUUGGCUAAGCCUGAGUCGCAUGCCUGUGUCUGAAGUCAAGGGGUCGGGUCAGCCCCCUGUAGGCCCCUGGAACUAGGAGUGGGUGAGAGAUGGUUCCUUAAAAGAAAAUCGAGAUGCUAUUAGCAGAAUAACAGGGGUCCCUGACAGGUAGGAACACUGAUGUCCUCUCCCUCACAGUGCUGUUGUCAGGAUUAGAUAAGCUCAUGUAGGCAAAGUGCUCAGCAUGGUGCUUGGCUCUGGUAGAUGCUCAGUAACCGAAUCCCCUCCCUUCUUCCCUCCUCUAGGAAACAGGAAUCGUGGCUCACCAAAUCCAGCCCAACUGCUUCCUUGUUCACAUGGGGAAAUUGAGGAAGGCCUAGGGAGGGUAAGGGACUUGCCCAAGGUGCCCAGUUCAUUAGCCACAGAACCCAUGCCCCCAGCUCUGAAACAAGUUCCAGUUAAAGUCUUCGCUGAUAACUUUAAAUCCUCCACUAACCAAGGGAGUCAUCUUUGCAUUUGCACAGAGGAGACGGGAAAAAAUCACAAAGCCCUUAAGGUCCAGAGGAAAUGAGUGUCACCACAUUGGGCUCCCAGGCUGUGCAACAAGCUGUGGACUGAGAUGUCUGGGCAGGGAGCCCGGUCCAGCUCCCUACCCAUCGCAUCAUGGAGUCAGCCAUCUCCUCUGGGGACUGCACCCUCUGGGUGCUGAGAAAUCCAAAUGGCUCUUUUUCAUGCAGCCGCCCCAAGUGUGCAAGAUGGCCUUUCUCUUGAUUUAUUUCCUGCUUACUUUAUGAGAGUCAAAGUGCAUCCUUCAGGACCAAAGUGGCCAAGGGGCCAGCAUGUUAUUUAGAGUGAUCAAAAUGGACCAUUUUCAACUUGGCCCUAAUUCAUCUUCAGAGUUUUGGUUUCCACUUGCUUUUACUUAUCUGUAUUUUCUAGCAUUUCUUUAGCAAAUUUGUAUUACUUUGGCAAUUAGAAAAAAUGACCAGUAAUUUUUAUAAAAGGAUUUGUGUUUGAUUUCCUUUCAGAAAGGCACUUUCAUUUAUUAAAAGAUCACAAUGAGAAGUGAGAUUAAAUUGAUCUUUCUCUCUGGCAAGGAUGUGUGGGGAGGAAUGGGGAGGUGAAUGCUGGGAGCAGAAGCCACAGCUGCAGAGGGCUGCAGUGAAUGAAGGCUGGACCAGGAGACUGGACCAGGAGGC